CUGGUAGUCCACGCCGUAAACGGUGGGCACUAGUUGUGGGGACCUUCCACGGUCUCUGCGACGCAGCUAACGCAUUAAGUGCCCCGCCUGGGGAGUACGAUCGCAAGAUUAAAACUCAAAGGAAUUGACGGGGCCCCGCACAAGCAGCGGAGCAUGCGGCUUAAUUCGACGCAACGCGAAGAACCUUACCAAGGCUUGACAUAUACAGGAACAUGGCAGAGAUGUCAUAGCCGCAAGGUCUGUAUACAGGUGGUGCAUGGUUGUCGUCAGCUCGUGUCGUGAGAUGUUGGGUUAAGUCCCGCAACGAGCGCAACCCUCGUUCUGUGUUGCCAGCAUUAAGUUGGGGACUCACAGGAGACUGCCGGGGUUAACUCGGAGGAAGGUGGGGAUGACGUCAAAUCAUCAUGCCCCUUAUGUCUUGGGCUGCACGCAUGCUACAAUGGCUGGUACAAACGGCUGCGAUACCGCAAGGUGGAGCGAAUCCGAUAAAGCCAGUCUCAGUUCGGAUUGGGGUCUGCAACUCGACCCCAUGAAGUCGGAGUUGCUAGUAAUCGUAGAUCAGCAACGCUACGGUGAAUACGUUCCCGGGGCUUGUACACACCGCCCGUCACGUCACGAAAGUCGGUAACACCCGAAGUCAGUGGCCCAACCGCAAGGAGGGAGCUGCCGAAG
rnacentral:rRNA from 1 species